GGCUCAAUGGUCUAGUGGUAUGAUUGUCGCUUCGGGUGCCUCUUGGUUGAAAAAGCCAUGAACUGUGACAGGCCUCGGGUUCGAAUCCCGAUUGAGCCC
rnacentral:tRNA from 1 species